ACGCUCGACACCUAUGGGAGGCAGCAGUGGGGAAUAUUGCACAAUGGGGGAAACCCUGAUGCAGCGACGCCGCGUGAAGGAAGAAGUAUCUCGGUAUGUAAACUUCUAUCAGCAGGGAAGAAAAUGACGGUACCUGACUAAGAAGCCCCGGCUAACUACGUGCCAACAGCCGCGGUAAUCUGAGCGGGCUGGCAAGGC
rnacentral:rRNA from 1 species